rnacentral:rRNA from 1 species
AAUAGAUACCCGGGUAGUCCACGCCGUAAACGAUGGAUACUAGCUGUUCGGAGCAAUCUGAGUGGCUAAGCGAAAGUGAUAAGUAUCCCACCUGGGGAGUACGUUCGCAAGAAUGAAACUCAAAGGAAUUGACGGGGGGCCCGCACAAGCGGUGGAGCAUGUGGUUUAAUUCGAUGAUACGCGAGGAACCUUACCAAGGCUUAAAUGUAGAUUGACCGGACUGGAAACAGUUUUUUCGCAAGACAAUUUACAAGGUGCUGCAUGGUUGUCGUCAGCUCGUGCCGUGAGGUAUCAGGUUAAGUCCUAUAACGAGCGCAACCCCUGUCGUUAGUUGCCAGCGAGUGAUGUCGGGAACUCUAACGAGACUGCCAGUGUAAGCUGUGAGGAAGGUGGGGAUGACGUCAAAUCAUCACGGCCCUUACGCCUUGGGCUACACACGUGCUACAAUGGCCGGUACAGAGAGCAGCCACUGGGCGACCAGGAGCGAAUCUAUAAAACCGGUCACAGUUCGGAUCGGAGUCUGCAACUCG